UACGAAGGGGGCUAGCGUUGCUCGGAAUUACUGGGCGUAAAGCGCACGUAGGCGGCUUUGUAAGUUAGAGGUGAAAGCCCGGAGCUCAACUCCGGAAUUGCCUUUAAGACUGCAUCGCUUGAAUCCAGGAGAGGUGAGUGGAAUUCCGAGUGUAGAGGUGAAAUUCGUAGAUAUUCGGAAGAACACCAGUGGCGAAGGCGGCUCACAUGGACUGGUAUUGACGCUGAGGUGCGAAAGCGUGGGGAGCAAACAGG
rnacentral:rRNA from 1 species